UGGGGAAUCUUGCACAAUGGGGGAAACCCUGAUGCAGCGACGCCGCGUGAGCGAUGAAGGUUUUCGAAUCGUAAAGCUCUGUCCUAUGGGAAGAUAAUGACGGUACCAUGGGAGGAAGCCCCGGCUAACUACGUGCCAGCAGCCGCGGUAAUACGUAGGGGGCGAGCGUUGUCCGGAAUUACUGGGCGUAAAGGGUUCGCAGGCGGCAUGGCAAGUCCGAUGUAAAAGGCGAAGGCUCAACCUUCGUAAGCAUCGGAAACUGUCAAGCUUGAGUGAAGGAGAGGCAAGUGGAAUUCCUAGUGUAGCGGUGGAAUGCGUAGAUAUUAGGAGGAAUACCGGUGGCGAGGGCGACUUGCUGGACUUCAACUGACGCUGAGGAACGAAAGCGUGGGUAGCAAACAGG
rnacentral:rRNA from 1 species